UACAGAGGUCUCAAGCGUUGUUCGGAUUCAUUGGGCGUAAAGGGUGUGUAGGUGGCGCGCUAAGUCGGGUGUGAAAUUUCGGAGCUUAACUCCGAAACUGCAUUUGAUACUGGCGUGCUUGAGGACUGGAGAGGAGACUGGAAUUCAUGGUGUAGCAGUGAAAUGCGUAGAGAUCAUGAGGAAGACCAGUGGCGAAGGCGGGUCUCUGGACAGUUCCUGACGCUGAGGCACGAAGGUCAGGGGAGCAAACGGG
rnacentral:rRNA from 1 species